UUUGCCUAAUCGGUUUCCCACGGCCCCGACUCCCGACCUCUUCAGAAGCAAAGCGACGACGCCGCCGGCCACCGCCGCAUCAACUCCGCUACCACGACUCUGCGUAGGCGUGAGCACCACCGCUGCCGCCGCCGGCAAAUCAAUCAGGGACGGCACCUCCUCCUCCGCAUCGAGCAGGGUUGCCUCCGCUGCCACAUCCACCAUCGACUAGCUCGGCAGCAUGCCGCAACCAGAUCGGCCCCGUUCUGCAUCGCCACCGUAUUCCUCCAUUGCCGCCGUCUUGGAGUUGGUAGCAGGUUCAGGUGCUCUGGUGUAGUGGAGGGUGCAUGGCCGUUCCUGGAGUGGCUAUGUCGAUGAACACCUCCGGCAGCGCUGCUGCGAUGUUGCGUAAUACCGAUUCAAUUAGUCUUGGAUGUAAUUGUAAGAAACGAAAGUUGUAUUCGAGAAUUGUGUCCGUGUUGAAUUGAACCUAUGAUUGAUUGGGUUAUUCAAGUUGUA